rnacentral:rRNA from 1 species
UCCUACGGGGCGCAGCAGUGAGGGAUAUUGGGCAAUGGGGGAAACCCUGACCCAGCGACGCCGCGUGAGGGAAGACGGUCUUCGGAUUGUAAACCUCUGUCUUUGGGGACGAAAAAGGACGGUACCCAAGGAGGAAGCUCCGGCUAACUACGUGCCAGCAGCCGCGGUAAUACGUAGGGAGCGAGCGUUGUCCGGAAUUACUGGGUGUAAAGGGAGCGUAGGCGGGGAUGCAAGUUGGGUGUCAAAACUACCGGCUCAACUGGUAGUCGCACUCAAAACUGCAGCUCUUGAGUGAAGUAGAGGCA